rnacentral:rRNA from 1 species
UACAGAGGUCUCAAGCGUUGUUCGGAUUCAUUGGGCGUAAAGCGCGCGUAGGCGGCCCUGUAAGUCCGUUGUGAAAGUCAAAGGCUCAACCUUUGAAAGCCGAUGGAUACUGCAGGGCUAGAGUCCGGAAGAGGCGAGUGGAAUUCCUGGUGUAGCGGUGAAAUGCGCAGAUAUCAGGAGGAACACCAAUGGCGAAGGCAGCACUCUGGGACGUGACUGACGCUGAGACGCGAAAGCGUGGGGAGCAAACAGG